CGAUUCAUAUGAGUCUUUUUGGUUGUCGCACUCCUUUGGCAUAUCCCGGAAGCAAAGUUUUUCAGUGUAGAUGUCGAAGAUUGAAGUACAUAAAUAAGGCUGGGUAUUAUGCCGACUUCCUGGAGAACAGUUCUUCGCCGACUUCUGGUGAAAAAGAUGUCGCAUAGACGCUCAGGAUUAAGAGGUCGCGUAAGGUCUUUGUAACGGUAACGGCUACAAGGCCCAUGGGAGUCGCAGUGCUACCGAUGGUUGUCCUAUAUUACCCAUUCGCUCGGUUCUCCCUCCGGCGUCUCCUGAUACGAGGGCGGUUCUUGGCAUUUGAGGAGACUUUUUGUAGCUUAAAAGUGUUCGUGAAAUCAACUCGUCUCGUAUCUCCUCUCCUCUGCUUUUCUUCUCUUCUUGAACGAUGGGCGAUGCUGUCCCGUGGUCAACCAGUAUGCAGCCAUUGUUGGAUGGAGAGGUCACCGAGGGGGAAGGGGAGGGGACUCUUUCGAUUCCGGUCUCAUCCAUUCAACAAUCCCAUGGAGACUCCGAGCCGUCGGUCUUUUUCUUUUCUUCUUCUUCGUAGCUUCGUUUUCUCUUUCUUUUCUUCUUUUUUGCUUUUCUUCUUCAUUUUUUGUGUGGCAGCAUUUUAAGGUUUAUAGGAAGAGGCUGUGAUGAUUCCUUGACGAGGGUUUUGCUACGUUGCGACGGCUAUUUCUAACGCAAGGCAAUCUUGGAUGGUCUGCUGCUGUUCUGCGGGCAACUGGAUGCAGCCGCUGAGGCUUAUUGUUCCGAGACUUGAAGAUUAACAAUACAAUGCUGGAUGAAGUGAUGCAUGGAUGGGAUUUGUUAGAUGCAAGAUUCAUCCGGGCCUCAGAAUCCUGUUUUGCAGCUCUUUCCCUAAUCCAUAUUCAUUAGACAUGCAUAGUACUAUUAUAUGUGGAAACUAAGAAAUUAUUAGUCGUGGAGAUUUUUAUCAUAUUAAGCCCAAUUAAGCUCAAAUUCAAGCUCAAAUUCGUCACAUUCAUGGCAAGAAAUGUUGGGAAUAAAGAACAAGCCAAGAAGAACAAAAAAUCAGCCAAAAUCACCUAAAAAUGACCUUCGAUGCAUGGUGAACCAGCUGCUUGGUCCACGAGCGGUCCAUAAAAUAGGCGUUGGUCUACAGUCGCCGUCCACAAGGAUGAUGGCUGGCUUUUGCACUAAUCGACGGUUGAGAUCGUGCUAAACACGCGAUCGGACGGCCACUAGCUCUCUAACCCAUAUCCAGCAAUGGUGGCCCACUUUCAGUGCGCGAUCCAAUGGCUGGCAGCGAUUUUCAAGGGCGAUCCAAUGGCUGUGGUUAUUUUCGAUUGGCAGAACUUAAACAGAAGGAUUUUUGAGCACCAUCCGACGGUCCACAACCAUCCACAGAUGCGAUCCGACGGCUGAUGUCGAUUCUGACCUGAUUAAGGCCUGAUGUGGUGAUUUUUUGGGCUGAUCUAGAACGUUGAUGCGAGAUCUGAUGGCCAAGAAGCUGUGACGUGGGUUGGACAUGACUUCGACAUUAUUUGGGACUCCAUUUUCCACCAAAAUUUGGAAAAAAUCCAUCUAUAAAAGGGGAUCAAUUUGCUGGUAGUUAGGGUAUAUAUGUCAGAAUUCCCUAGUUUGAAUUAUGUUACAAAGGUCAAGUUUUAUUUUUAUAUUCAAAUCUAUGCCUAUGCAGUGCCUUUUUUUCGAUAUGGUUAAUAUUUCCCUGUUUGGAGAGUAGUGCAUGGGGAUUACCAUCCAGCUACUCAUCUUUGAGUAGUACGAUUACCCUUUGUGGCUCAAUAAUUUUGCGUGGAUGAGAGUGUGAUCUCAUGCUUUUGUUUUUGGUUAAUGUUGAACCAAUUUUAUCUUGCAAUGGAGUUUAUGCAACUCUCAACAUAUUGUUUCCAUUGCAGUUUCACUCAGUAUCAAAAUCUUGUGACUGGAGAUAUGACUAUGAUACCAAGCACUUAGAAGUGUAAAAAUAUCGCUUCCACUGUUUGUGGCUCAACAUUGUUUGCACUGCAGAAAGUACCUUCUGGCUAC